rnacentral:rRNA from 1 species
GACGAACCGUGCGAACGUUGUUCGGAAUCACUGGGCUUAAAGGGCGCGUAGGUGGGCUGCCGCGUCCGGGGUGAAAUCCCACGGCUCAACCGUGGAACGGCCUCGGAUACGGGCGGCCUCGAGGGGGGUAGGGGCAUCUGGAACUGUGAGUGGAGCGGUGAAAUGCGUUGAUAUUCACAGGAACUCCGGUGGCGAAGGCGAGGUGCUGGACCCCUUCUGACGCUGAGGCGCGAAAGCGUGGGGAGCGAACAGG